UCUCGACUAAGUCGUUCACGAGCGUGCGC
rnacentral:sRNA from 1 species